UGUUGAUUUGAGGACAAUAUUAUGAUAAAAGAUCUCUAGCUUUGUUGAAAGAUUGUAAAAUAGAUUCAGUUGAAUAUACAAGGUAUUUUAAAUGCAGCACAUAAGACAUUUCUGUCCGUGAAACGCUUCUUAUCGUUAACCAUCUUGAACCAUACAGCUGUUAUGGGACUUGGACAGUCUAAUUUCUGUAAACAUACCUACAUGUACAUGUAUGUGUCAAACACAGAAAUAUACUUGGUCUACACUGGAAAAGGAAAAAAGAACAUGUUGUCACCCAUACCUGAUAGGGGAGACGCUAUUAUGCAAACCCGUUAACCGAGAGGGUCAAGCUGAAUGAGGUUUUGCCUGUUGGAACUGGUAUAUGCAAAAGAUGUAUAGAAACACACUUUAAAAAAUCAGUAUGGAAGUAAAGCUGAAGGAAGAGCUUAAAGCAGAAAUGUGUUCCUAUUGACAAGGCAACAAUUGAAUCAAACCAAACAGAGCAAAGAGUGGAGGAAAAUGGAAGAAGUCAUGGACUUAACAGAAAACAUAUGACCUAAUACCUGCAGAUUUUGAAUUCAUAUCAUCAGUGCAUAUAAAUUGGUCAAAAGAUGAAAGAUCUCAGCAUAAAUUGUUCAAUCAUGCAAAGCAUAUCCUGUCAAAUGGAGAUUACCCUCCCUUAAAGUGUCAAGUAUCUCAGAAAUUGGACUAUUUGCAAUGCUGUUCAGGAAUAUUUUACAGUCAGUACAUUUAGCAAUAGGGCCUGUUGCACCAUGCCAAGGUACAGAGUUGAUGCUUCAAGCUGUCGACGGCAUUCCAAAGGAAAAGGAUGAAACUUUUUUUUAGCUUACCUGAGCCGAAGGCUCAAGUGAGCUUUUCUGAUCGAAAUAUGUCCAUUGUCUGUCGUCGUCGUUGUCGUGGUUGUAAACUUUUCACAUUUUCAUCUUCUUCUCAAGAACCACUGUGCCAAUUUCAACCAAACUUUCCACAAAGUAUCCUUGGGUAAAGGGAAUUCAAGUUUGUUCAAAUGAAGGGUCACACCUUCUUCCAAGGGGAGAUAAUCAUGAAUUUGUGAAAAAUUGAUGGCAUCACCUAAAAACUUGUCAAGAACCACUGUGCUUGAAAAUAUGAAACUUAUAUGGAAGCAUCCUCAGGUAGUGUAGAUCCAAGUUUGUUCAAAUCAUGACUUCCAGGGGUAGGGUGGGGCCACAAUGGGUGAUCAAAGUUUUACUUAGGAAUACAUAGGAAAAAGCCUUUAAAAAUCUUCUUCUCAGAAACAGCAAAGCCAUGAUUGAUCAUAUUUAAAAGGAAGCAUCCUCAAGUAGUGUAGGUUCAAAUUUGUUCCAAUCAUGACCCCCGUGAGUAGGGUGGGGCCAGAAUGGUUGAUCAAAGUUUUGCAUAUAAUACAUGUACAUAGGAAAAAUUUGUAAAAAUCUUCUUCUCAAGAACAGCAAAGCCAUGAUUGGUCAUUUUUAUAUGGGUGCAUCCUCAGGUAGUGAAGAUUCAAGUUUGUUCCAGUCAUGACCCCCCCUCCCCCCAGGGGUAGGGUGGGGCCACAAUGGGUGAUCAAAGUUUUACAUAGGAAUACAUAGGAAAAAGCCUUUUAAAAUCUUCUUCUCAAGAACAGCAAAGCCAUAAUUAGUCAUAUUUAAAUGGAAGCAUCCUCAGGUAAUGUAGACUCAAAUUUUGUUCAAAUCAUGACCCCCCCCCCCCCCCCAAGAGAAUAGGGGGGCCAUAACAGGGGAUCAAAGUUAUACAAAGGAAUACAAAUGUUAUAUCAAUAAAAAUUGUCUUGUUAAGAACAGCA